rnacentral:rRNA from 1 species
GACAGAGGGUGCGAACGUUGUUCGGAAUUACUGGGCGUAAAGCGCACGUAGGCGGCUUUUUAAGUCAGGGGUGAAAUCCUGGAGCUUAACUCCAGAACUGCCUUUGAUACUGGGAGCUAGAGUCCGGAAGAGGUGAGUGGAACUGCGAGUGUAGAGGUGAAAAUUCGUAGAUAUUCGCAAGAACACCAGUGGCGAAGGCGGCUCACUGGUCCGGUACUGACGCUGAGGUGCGAAAAGCGUGGGGGAGCAAACAGGG